CCGCCCCCUCUCCUCACUUUCGUCUUCCUCUCCUCGCACACGCAACCUUUGCCUCCACUCCCUCGCCUCUUCCCCUCCUUCUCCUCGACAUCUCCACGAGUGGGGGAAUGACGAACUCGAGCUUGGCGACAGGGAUUCGAGCGCCAGCACUCCAUAUCCGGCGGAGGGGUUGCGCGCGGGUGGCGGCGAUUUCGAUCUGUGUGUGCCUCGUUGCUGGAGGCGGCUGCCCGAUCCAGCAACUGGUGAAGCAACUCCCGACCAGCGACCAUCCCUCCUCGCCCGCGUCUCUGCCCCGCACUCGUUUUGCCACCAACCUCGACUAGAUCGGCAUCUGGUGUAGGAGGCUCGGGGUGGUUGUGGGCCUCGUGGCGGCGGCCUCCUCAGCGGCGUCGCCGGACAACCUCCACGCGCGGAGGAGGCAUCUCCACGGGUUCCCCGAGCCCGACCAUGCAGGAUGGGACGAGAAUGUUUGUGGCCAGCUAGUGGAUGCGGGUCGGAGCAGCGGGACUCCCGCCUAUGCCUCGCACGGCUCGGAGAGACGCUGAGCUCCAAUGACCCAUGGAUGCGCCGGCGAGUGCGGGUGGCCCGCUUGAUGCUUUCAACCGUAGAUUCACAGGAAGCUUGCGACGUUGCUACCCUCCAUCUCCCUCACACACGACUUACGCCGUCGCCAGGAUCCCCAUUUUCUUCCUGUACUGGUGCUGCUAGCUCCUUGGCGACGGUUAUGACGCCAUAUGUGGCUUCACUCGGCCCCUCCUCCCCGGCAGCGGCCUUCUUGACGGAUUAAAUCAUGUUAUCUUGCUAUUUGCUUCCAAGCCUAAAUAUUUCUCAUCCAUACAAGAUUUUAUCUAUAAGUUUGGUCGCGACAUCGACUGCCUAUCUUGGCAACAUUGGUGCUGAAGUUAUCGAGCCUCCAAAGAAUGGGACAUUCAAAUGUCACAGAACUCGUCGGUGAUGUUAUCGAGCAUUCAGGGAAACCAAAUGUCAUAGACUCAUAGUUUCUACAAAUGUGCAUGAGCUAUUGGAAUGCCCUGUGUGUUUGGUUCCCAUGUAUCCUCCAAUUCAUCGGUGCUCCAAUGGUCAAACCAUUUGUUCUGAAUGCAAGCCAAGGGUUCAUAAUGGUCGCCCAACUUGCAGGAGUGAAUUGGGUAACAUAAGAUGCCUUGCUUUGGAGAAGGUUGGCGCCUCUCUAGACUUUAUGUCCAAGUUCCAGAACUUUGGAUGCUUGGGAAUGUAUCCUUAUUAUUGCAAGUUAAAACAUGAAUCAGAGUGCCAAUACAGACCCUAUACUGGCCCAUAUGCAGGUUUUAGGUUUUUGUUGAUUUAUGUGAUGGAAUCUUGAUAUGUAGCAUGACUUCCGUCCUGGACAGUUGCUGGGAAUGCGUUGAGAAAAUGCAACAUGACUUGAUGUUUGAAGUUACAGCCUUACAGGAGCAUCAACACAAAUUUGCAACGACGAAGUUUAUACCAUGCUUGUGUAGUCAGUCUGAAGCAUUUGCCUUUGGAAUUAAAGAAGAUCAGAGUAUGACACUGACCUGAGAUCAUACGAAGCGGUGAGCUAAUUAUGUUUUACUGUGCUUCAUGCUUUUCUGUCAUAGUCUGCGUCAUAAAAUUUUCCCUAUAGAUUUCAGUGCUAGCAAAUAUCCUAAAGACAUACAGAGAAGGCAAUCAGUGCAGUGGAUUCCAAUAUUGAUGCAAGAAAAAUGCCUUUGGGUUGAAGCCCACUUACUAAUAUUCUCAUGGUCUCUCUCUCUGUGUGUGUGUAGCUAUUCCUAUUUGUGAUUAUCAUCUUGUAGGAUGUUAAUCAGUACCUUACCUUUGACUUCCAUUCAAAGUUGAAGCGAUUAUUACUUAUCUAUUUAUCUGUUUCAAUGAAUAAGCCCACUUACUAAUAUUCUCAUGGUGUUUUAACAAAUAUAUAUACCAUCGGCUUGACGGCGAGGAGGGAAGCCCCGCAGAUCGAGGAGGACGGCGCGACGACUGUGCUGUAGGUGAAGAGCAUGGUCAUGUCAUGGUACCGCAUAUUGGUGGUGGUCCGCUUUCCUGCUAUGGCGUCCAACACGACUACACCCUUUUACUUGGCCUGCUCAGAUUUGAUUGGGAGGGUGCUCUUUUGCUUUAAAGACAUGAUUGGUGGAUGUAUUUUGGUUUUAUGAUGGCCAGGUUGAGCAAAAUCACAUGUUUUUUUUUCAAGUUUGAGAAGAAAAAGACACCGGAACAGGUGAUUGAUCACAACCAUACUUUCAGAGCAGAGCUUUUUCAGUUACAAUUAAAGGCAGAAGGUAGCAGUUGACAUUAUUGGUAAAUUAAUUCUCUCCAUGUAUGUAUGUGCUAAUGUAACUAGCAUACAUCUAUACAUGGCUUUACUGAGCAUGAUUUUGCAUUUGCUACGACCUGCUAACCUAAACAUAUGCUACUACAGUACCUAGGUUUCUCUAUAGAAAAGGUCAAGUGUAAUCCUAAUUUGGGCUACUGAAUUUUAGCCCCUUCACUGGUUAAACCAUGGUCAUCUACAUGUUUAUGAUUGAUGUUUCACAAGCGAGCUUCGGUCUAGCUACCACCUGUCCACUAUUUAGGAAUGCAUACAAGUAAUUCCUGUACGGAGCAACACCACACAAGUUCUAUGUUUCAGAACAAGCAUUCUGCAUUUUCAGAGAUUAACAACUGAAAAAUUGUUCAGUCUGAUAAAGUAGAUCUAUGCUAGCAACUAGCAUCAUCAUUCUUUGUGCUGGAUUGGUCAAACGUUGGACAUUUGAAGAGAAGGAACUUCGUGUGAGAUUAAUAUCUUUCUGAUCAGUAGCAUCACCCGUGACAAGGAUUUAUAAUGAAUGGCCAUUAGAAGAGAGGAAAGGACGGACAGAAGGUUUGCUACACAAUUGAACAUGUUCCAUUAUUGAUUGGUUUUCAAUAUUGGUGCAUCUGGGUCCCACGCCGUGGCGUGGACACGGUGGCCCUGCCGAAGCGGGUGUGGUCGAGCCACUGGAUGAUGUAGCCGGUGGCUCCAGUCACGCACAUCGGCUGGUCCUGCUCCGGCGAGCAGCCGCUGCCCUUCCUGUCCUGAUAUUGCCUUGCAUCUCCUUUAGGUGAGGGUGUUGGACGCCGAGCAGGGAGUAAAAAAUUGUGGAGCUGUCAGUCCGUAAACGCUCUUGUAACACUUUUACUUAUCCACACCCGAAAAGCAGCUAAGCUGCAGUUUGUUAGUGAUGUGCUACAGUUUCACUUGUAUGGAAAGAGACGAGAUUCAUUUGCA